UCCUACGGGAGGCAGCAGUGGGGAAUAUUGCACAAUGGGCGAAAGCCUGAUGCAGCAACGCCGCGUGAGGGACGACGGCCUUCGGGUUGUAAACCUCUUUUAGCAGGAAAGAAGCGAAAGUGACGGUACCUGCAGAAAAAGCGCCGGCUAACUACGUGCCAGCAGCCGCGGUAAUACGUAGGGCGCAAGCGUUAUCCGGAAUUAUUGGGCGUAAAGAGCUCGUAGGCGGUCUGUCGCGUCUGCUGUGAAAACCCGAGGCUCAACCUCGGGCCUGCAGUGGGUACGGGCAGACUAGAGUGCGGUAGGGGAGAUUGGAAUUCCUGGUGUAGCGGUGGAAUGCGCAGAUAUCAGGAGGAACACCGAUGGCGAAGGCAGAUCUCUGGGCCGUAACUGACGCUGAGGAGCGAAAGGGUGGGGAGCAAACAGGCUUAGAUACCCUGGUAGUCCACCCCGUAAACGUUGGGAACUAGUUGUGGGGUCCAUUCCACGGAUUCCGUGACGCAGCUAACGCAUUAAGUUCCCCGCCUGG
rnacentral:rRNA from 1 species